CCUAACAUCUGGUGAGCCUGCGUUCGAAUGUCCCCAUAUUGCUGUACCACAGAACUGAACAGUGUUAACUUUCUAUAGUGUGGUAUAUUCAUCCCAAACUCUCCCGUGAGCAAUGUUCAAUGAUAAUUAAUGUUUAUUCAUUUCUUAAAUGGUCAGAAUGAAGAAUGCUGAAUAUUUUGACACCGUAAUGUUAUGUUGCAGACACCAAGUGACCUGACUGAACCCUCUGGAGACCAUGAAUGGAGUGAGAUAUCCACUUCAUUCUUACAACAGACACCAAGUGACCUGACUGAACCCUCUGGAGACCAUGAAUGGAGUGAGAUAUCCACUUCAUUCUUACAACAGACACCAAGUGACCUGACUGAACCCUCUGGAGACCAUGAAUGGAAUGAUAGAUACACUUCAUCCUUACAACAGACAUCAAGUGACAGGUACCUGACUGAACCCUCUGGAAACCAAGAAUGGAGUGAGAGAUCCACUUCAUCCUUACAACAGACACCAAGUGACCUGACUGAACCCUCUGGAAACCAAGAAUGGAGUUAGAGACCCACUUCAUCCUUACAACAGACACCGAGUGACCUGACUGAACCCUCUGGAGACCAUGAAUGGAGUGAGAGAUCCACUUCAUCCUUACAACAGACAUCAAGUGACAGGUACCUGACUGAACCCUCUGGAAACCAAGAAUGGAGUGAGAGAUCCACUUCAUCCUUACAACAGACACCAAGUGACCUGACUGAACCCUCUGGAAACCAAGAAUGGAGUUAGAGACCCACUUCAUCCUUACAACAGACACCGAGUGACCUGACUGAACCCUCUGGAGACCAUGAAUGGAGUGAGAGAUCCACUUCAUCCUUACAACAG